rnacentral:lncRNA from 1 species
AUCUUUUGACCAAGACCCAUUCAAAUUUUAAUUUUUUUUAAUCUAAAUUUUUAUACCUAAAUAGGUUAAAAUUUUUAUCAAAUUUAAUGAUUUAAAUGUUGAUUGGCCUACUUUUAUUUGCUAAGAAGUAAUUAGAGGUAUUAAAAUGUUAGGAUUUGGUUAGAUUUGUAAUUGAAUCCUAGUUAGAUAAGAAUUAAUAUUUAAAUCUAUUGGAGAUAAAUUAAGAUUUAAAUAUUAAAUUAGAGGAUAAAAUCUAACUAGAUUAGGAUUAAUAUUUAAAUCUAUUAGAGAUUAAUUAAGAUAGAUUUAGAUAUUAAUUGGAGUAGAAAUCCUAAAUAUAUUAGGAUUGGGGUACGUUUUUGUGGAGCCUUAUAAAUAGCUCUUUGUGGGUUUGCUUUUGAGGGGAGUACGGGAGAGAGAGAAAAGGCCUCUUGGGUGCCGUACCAGAGAGAGAAAAAGAGAGAGAGAGAGUUAUUUAGUGCACCUAGUGCAUGGGUGCGCGCGGAUGAUUGUCUUCUUUAUGGGAUUAUAGAAGACGAGAGAAGGGUAGAAAAAGAUUCAAGAAAGAGGGCUCGGGUUGUAGCUACUCUGUGCAGAAGAGGAGUCAGGUGUAAUCUUCUCUUAUUUAAUGAAUUUUAUUUUACCCGCAUAUUUUCUGUUUUGGUAUUUCUCUCUUUUAUGAUUGAAUCAGCUUUUGCUGAGGAGACGGGUUUAUGGUAAAAAACCCGAUUCGACGCUUCCGUUGCGGAAUCCCAACAAUCGAUACCGAAUCCACAGCAGUCGGUAUCGGAGCGGGUUGCGGAUUCACGAGAUCCGGUACCGG